rnacentral:ncRNA from 1 species
GUUUUGGUUCGCAGCAACGCGAUUAAUAGGGAAUCCGGUGAGAAUCCGGAACAGACCCGCUACUGUAAUUCCUUCAAAACUCGCCAACAUAAUGUCACUGUCGGCACUGCUGAUGGGAAGGCGUUGGUGAGCAGGAUAAGUCAGGAGACCUGCCAGGACAACA